rnacentral:lncRNA from 1 species
UUAGAUUGAGAAUCUGUCCGAACACUAGAAAAAACCGUUUGAACCGUGAACUGAAAAAUCGGUAAAAAGCCUGUCCGACCGGUUCUUUCGUCUGCGCAAGCCGAUAAAAACAAACAACCCGAGACCCACCCCCUCCCGGGCAACCACCACUCUCGUCACUCGUCCAUCCGGCCUCUCUGACUCUCUGACUCUCUCAACCUCUCUUCACUCUUUAGUCUCCAAUCUCCCUCCACCUUCCGGCUUUCAGCCUCCAGUUCACCCGCCUUUAGCCGUCUGCUUCUUCGACGACCGUCCCUGCUGAAAAAUGAGAAAGUCAGAAAGACAGGUUUGGUGGUAAAGGACAAAUGAGAAUUGAAAAGAGUUAACGAUAAUAAUUUUUUAGGUUUGCGUACUUUAUGACAACCCGAGACCCACCCCCUCCCGGGCAACCACCACUCUCGUCACUCGUCCAUCCGGCCUCUCUGACUCUCUGACUCUCUCAACCUCUCUUCACUCUUUAGUCUCCAAUCUUCCUCCACCUUCCGGCUUUCAGCCUCCAGUUCACCCGCCUUUAGCCGUCUGCUUCUUCGACGACCGUCCCUGCUGAAAAAUGAGAAAGUCAGAAAGACAGGUUUGGUG